rnacentral:rRNA from 1 species
GAUUUGAGAGGGGCUGCUCCUAGUACGAGAGGACCGGAGUGGACGAACCUCUGGUGUUCCGGUUGUCACGCCAGUGGCAUUGCCGGGUAGCUAUGUUCGGAAAAGAUAACCGCUGAAAGCAUCUAAGCGGGAAACUUGCCUCAAGAUGAGAUCUCACUGGGAACUUGAUUCCCCUGAAGGGCCGUCGAAGACUACGACGUUGAUAGGCUGGGUGUGUAAGCGUUGUGAGGCGUUGAGCUAACCAGUACUAAUUGCCCGUGAGGCUUGACCAU